rnacentral:ncRNA from 1 species
UUGGAAGAGAAUUAGAAAAUCUUAGUAUACCUGUCAACAUACAGUGUUGUGCUGCCACGGAAGGCAGCGCAAGUCUUAAUGUGCCAUGGAAGGCACAUUUAAGACGUACACGUCACUCUGCCAUAAACUAUAUCAGGUAUACUUAGUUUUUCUUAUUCUCGUAC